UAACUCUAUUAUCUUCUUAAUUACACUCAUGUUAUUAUCUCCUAUUAAAAUAUAAAAAUAUUAUUAUUCCAUCUCAAUUAAAAAACAAAUUCAAACAUUGGUUCUAAAGCUCGAUCUAAUUUAAUAUAGAUUUGAAUUCUAAUAUUAUAAAAAUUAAUAAUCAGCCAAAUCGAAAAUCUAAUAAGACUAAGACUUGGAUACGUCAGAGGAGUAUGACAACGUUC
rnacentral:lncRNA from 1 species